rnacentral:rRNA from 1 species
UACGUAGGGUGCAAGCGUUAAUCGGAAUUACUGGGCGUAAAGCGCGCGUAGGCGGCUUUGCAAGUCGGGUGUGAAAUCCCCAGGCUUAACCUGGGAACUGCAUUUGUGACUGCAUCGCUGGAGUGCGGCAGAGGGGGAUGGAAUUCCGCGUGUAGCAGUGAAAUGCGUAGAUAUGCGGAGGAACACCGAUGGCGAAGGCAAUCCCCUGGGCCUGCACUGACGCUCAUGCACGAAAGCGUGGGGAGCAAACAGG